CAGAAGGAUAAAUAUCCGUCUUUGCUCAGUGUUUGCUCAGGGUUCCAUCCUGCUCAGCAGGCCAAGUGCUCUAAGGCUGUGGCAGGGCAAAAAUACCACAGUGGUACAGCAGGAGAGAGGAAAGUCGAGUGCCCUGCGACCACCAGGAAGCCGACUGAAAAGGGACCAGAAGAGGAUGUCAGGUCCCAUGGAACUGGAAUUAAGCUCCAUUGAUGAAGUCAGCACUUCAUGGUCUAGUCUUCCUCCACAGCACCAUCAGCCGAUGAUUAAGCCCUUGGGGGAAUAUUUCAUAUGAAAAUCAUACAGUCUGGGCGAUGCACAUUUAGGUGUCAUCUUCACUACCCAAAGAACGGCACCCUAACUUCUAGAUUUUCAGAAACUUUGACUUUGCUCUUCUCCAAAUGUUGAGAAGAACUUGUGUUUUCCUUACUUGUUUACUCACAGGACAAACCAUAACCUAUCAAUACAAUCGUAAAAUGUUUCCUCACUCUAGAGGGGGUAGGACCUGGCAGCAUGCAGCCAAUAGAUGAAUGAGGUGGACUAAAGUCUCAUGUGAAAGCCAACUUUAUUCAGAGCCCCAGACAAUUUAUACUCUAAGGGUUAAGAAAGGUCAGAUGAAUGAAGUUCUCAUGAGUUUAAGCUGUAUAUACAAUCAUAAGGACAAGCCACAUGUGCCAAAAAUGUCUUCUAUAGAGGUAUAUAAGGAUAUUUUAAACAUUUGAUUGAAUAACAACAAUAAGCAAUGAGUAAUCUGAACUAAAUUCUCUCCUAUCUGCUACAAUCUGGAAGGAACACAAAAACACAUUCCAAGAACAAUUUGAUGUUUUGAAGAAACUGAGGUCACAAUACUCUUGUCUUGUUGUCUUGGAGUAUUCUCACAAGCAGUCAGAAUUCUCACACAACUCCCUCCAUUCCUGAACCAUGUUCUAAUAAUAAAGUAAAAAAUUGCAAAUUUA